rnacentral:lncRNA from 1 species
CAAAAUAACACUUUACAUUACAUUUGACAGUUUAGUCACUUAGCAGACAUUCUCAUCCAGAGCGACUAACAGUUGGAGCGUUCAUCUUAAAAUAGCAAGGCAGAAACUCAAACAGGAUGUUCCCGUGACAAGGACUAUUCAAUGCUGGUCUGACCAAUUGGAAUCCACGCUUCAAGAUUGUUUUGGUCAUGCGGACUGGGACGUGUUCCGGGUAGCCUCAGAGAAUAAUAUUGAUUUAUACGCUGGUUCGGACCUGAGCCCUAGGACCAUGCCUCAGGACUACCUGGCAUGAUGACUCCUUGCUGUCCCCAGUCCACCUGGCCAUGCUG